rnacentral:rRNA from 1 species
UACGGAGGGUGCAAGCGUUAUCCGGAAUCACUGGGUUUAAAGGGUGCGUAGGCGGCUAGAUAAGUCAGAUGUGAAAGCCCACCGCUUAACGGUGGAACUGCAUUUGAUACUGUCUGGCUUGAAUCAGGCUGAGGUUAGCGGAAUGUGUCAUGUAGCGGUGAAAUGCAUAGAUAUGACAUAGAACACCAAUUGCGAAGGCAGCUAACUAGACCUGUAUUGACGCUGAGGCACGAAAGCGUGGGGAGCGAACAGG